GUCUUUUAGUGAAUUAUUUAAGGUUUGGCCUGCUCCAUGAUGUAUUUAAAUAGCCGCAGUAUCUUGACUGUGCAAAGGUAGCAUAAUCAUUAGUUUUUUAAUUGAAAGCUGGAAUGAAUGGUCGGAUGAGAAAAUUUCUGUCUCACUUUGAAUUUGGUUGAAUUUUAUUUUUAAGUCAAAAAGCUUAAAUUUAAUAGAAAGACGAGAAGACCCUAUAGAGUUUAAUAGGUUUAUAAUUUAAUAUUUAAAGGGUUAAUAUAUAUUAUUUUUUUUUAGCUUAUUUUGUUGGGGUGACAUAAGAAUUUGAUAAACUUCUUUUGAUUUUUACAUUGAUUAGUGAGUCAGUGAUCCUGAGUUUUGGAUUGAAAGAAUAAAUUACCUUAGGGAUAACAGCGUAAUUCUUUUGGAGAGCUCUAAUCGAUAAAAGGGAUUGCGACCUCGAUGUUGGAUUAAAAUAAAAUCUUGGUGCAGAAGCUAGGGUUUUUGAGUCUGUUCGACUCUUAAAAUUUUACAUGAUCUGAGUUUAAACCGGCGUGAGCCAGGUUGGUUUCUAUCUUUUAUAGUUAAAAUAUCUUAGUACGAAAGGACCAGGUAUUUAAAUAGCAUUUUAUAUUUGAGUAUUAUUGUUAUUUUGGCAGACUAGUGCGAUAGACUUAGAAUCUUUAUAUGUAAUUAUAUUACAGAUAACAAUUUAUUUUUUUGAUUUAUUAUUAUUGUUUAUUUCUAUGUUAAUUUUGGUUGUGUGCGUUUUGGUGGGAGUGGCAUUUUUAACUUUACUUGAACGUAAGGUUUU
rnacentral:rRNA from 1 species